rnacentral:rRNA from 1 species
GCGAACGGGUGAGUAACACGUGGGCAAUCUGCCCUUCACUCUGGGACAAGCCCUGGAAACGGGGUCUAAUACCGGAUAAUACCUGCCUGGGCAUCUGGGUGGGUUGAAAGCUCCGGCGGUGAAGGAUGAGCCCGCGGCCUAUCAGCUUGUUGGUGAGGUAGUGGCUCACCAAGGCGACGACGGGUAGCCGGCCUGAGAGGGCGACCGGCCACACUGGGACUGAGACACGGCCCAGACUCCUACGGGAGGCAGCAGUGGGGAAUAUUGCACAAUGGGCGAAAGCCUGAUGCAGCGACGCCGCGUGAGGGAUGACGGCCUUCGGGUUGUAAACCUCUUUCAGCAGGGAAGAAGCGAAAGUGACGGUACCUGCAGAAGAAGCGCCGGCUAACUACGUGCCAGCAGCCGCGGUAAUACGUAGGGCGCAAGCGUUGUCCGGAAUUAUUGGGCGUAAAGAGCUCGUAGGCGGCUUGUCACGUCGGUUGUGAAAGCCCGGGGCUUAACCCCGGGUCUGCAGUCGAUACGGGCAGGCUAGAGUGUGGUAGGGGAGAUCGGAAUUCCUGGUGUAGCGGUGAAAUGCGCAGAUAUCAGGAGGAACACCGGUGGCGAAGGCGGAUCUCUGGGCCAUUACUGACGCUGAGGAGCGAAAGCGUGGGGAGCGAACAGGAUUAGAUACCCUGGUAGUCCA